CCUUUAUACUCUCCUGCAUGAUGUUCUCCAUGUUAUUGGUCUUUUCUUCCACCUCAGACACCUUCUUUUCAAUUUCAUCUUUCUCAUUUUGAAUGUUUUCCUUGCAUUGAUCAAGCUCUUCCCGUUGUCUCUGAAGGUCAUUUUUCAAGUUUUCCAACUCAUCCUUGUCUUUCAUCAUGUCAUGUUUGUUGUUUUCAAUUUCCUGUCUUUCUUUGUGCAGUCUAUCUGUCAGUUUCUCAAGUUCUUCUCUGUCAGUAUCUAGUUUCUCUUUAAUAGUGCUCUCAAUAGUUUUUCUCUCGUCUUCUAUUUCAGCCCUGCAUUGGUCAAAUUCAAUUUUGUCCUUGUUGUGGAUAUCCAUCAUGUUGUCUAGCUCUCUUUGUUGCUGGUCUAUCUUAGCUGUCCUUUCUGUUAGCUCACCCUGUUGCUCUUGAAUGAUCUUCAUCGUGUCUUCCAUGGUGUCUCUCUGUGUUUGGAGUUCUGACUGGAGAAGGUCCAGUUGCUCCUUCCUGGUGUUCAGGUCUUCCUCCUGGCUCUUUAGGGCUUUUUUCUUAGGUUCUAUUUCUUCUUGAAGCUUUUUAAGAUCGUCUUUCUCUUCCUGUAUAUCCAUCAUCAGCUGUUUGUUUUCUGCCCUCUGUUUCACACUUUCAUUCUCUAAUAUGUCCAUUUUCAUAUCAAUUUCUGCCUUUUUCUUCUCCAAACCACGUCUUUCUGCCUCAAGAAUGAGUUUGUUUUCUCCUAAUUCUUGUUUUUGUUUCUCAAUGUCAAUAUUAAACUGUUCAAGCUCAACCUUCCUUCUAUCCGUUUCUUCACCAAGACUCUGGAGGUCAUCCUUUUCUUUUUGAAGAACAUGUGCUUGUUCUUUCAGUCUCUCUUUCUCUUUUAUACUCUCCUGCAUGAUGUUCUCCAUGUUAUUGGUCUUUUCUUCCACCUCAGACACCUUCUUUUCAAUUUCAUCUUUCUCAUUUUGAAUGUUUUCCUUGCAUUGAUCAAGCUCUUCCCGUUGUCUCUGAAGGUCAUUUUUCAAGUUUUCCAACUCAUCCUUGUCUUUCAUCAUGUCAUGUUUGUUGUUUUCAAUUUCCUGUCUUUCUUCGUGCAGUCUAUCUGUCAGUUUCUCAAGUUCUUCUCUGUCAGUAUCUAGUUUCUCUUUAACAGUGCUCUCAAUAGUUUUUCUCUCUUCUUCCAUUUCAGCCCUGCAUCGGUCAAAUUCAAUUUUGUCCUUGUUGUGGAUAUCCAUCAUGUUGUCUAGCUCUCUUUGUUGCUGGUCUAUCUUAGCUGUCCUUUCUGUUAGCUCACCCUGUUGCUCUUGAAUGACCUUCAUCGUGUCUUCCAUGGUGUCUCUCUGUGUUUGGAGUUCUGACUGGAGAAGGGUUAGUUGCUCCUUCCUGGUGUUCAGGUCUUCCUCCUGGCUCUUUAGGGCUUUUUUCUUAGGUUCUAUUUCUUCUUGAAGCUUUUUAAGAUCGUCUUUCUCUUCCUGUAUAUCCAUCAUCAGCUGUUUGUUUUCUGCCCUCUGUUUCACACUUUCAUUCUCUAAUAUGUCCAUUUUCAUAUCAAUUUCUGCCUUUUUCUUCUCCAAACCACGUCUUUCUGCCUCAAGAAUGAGUUUGUUUUCUCCUAAUUCUUGUUUUUGUUUCUCAAUGUCAAUAUUAAACUGUUCAAGCUCAACCUUCCUUCCAUCCGUGUCUUCAGCAAGACUCUGGAGGUCAUCCUUUUCUUUUUGAAGAACACGUGCUUGUUCUUUCAGUCUCUCGUUCUCCUUUAUACUCUCCUGCAUCAUGUUCUCCAUGUUAUUGGUAUUUUCUUUCACCUCAGACACUUUCUUUUCAAUUUCAUCUUUCUCAUUUUGAAUGUUUUCCUUGUAUCGAUCAAGCUCUUCCCGUUGUCUCUGAAGGUCAUUUUUCAAGUGUUCCAACUCAUCCUUGUCUUUCAUCAUGUCAUGCUUGUUGUUUUCAAUUUCCUGUCUUUCUUCAUGCAGUUUACUUUUCAGUUGCUCAAGUUCCUCUUUUUCCGCAUCUAGUUUCUCUUUAAUAGUGCUCUCAAUAG
ensembl:lncRNA